AACGAACGCUGGCGGCAUGCCUAGCACAUGCAAGUCGAACGAGACCUUCGGGUCUAGUGGCGCACGGGUGCGUAACGCGUGGGAACCUGCCCUUAGGUUCGGAAUAACUCCCCGAAAGGGGUGCUAAUACCGGAUAAUGUCUUCGGACCAAAGAUUUAUCGCCUUUGGAUGGGCCCGCGUUGGAUUAGCUAGUUGGUAGGGUAAAAGCCUACCAAGGCGACGAUCCAUAGCUGGUCUGAGAGGAUGAUCAGCCACACUGGGACUGAGACACGGCCCAGACUCCUACGAGAGGCAGCAGUGGGGAAUAUUGGACAAUGGGCGAAAGCCUGAUCCAGCAAUGCCGCGUGAGUGAUGAAGGCCUUAGGGUUGUAAAGCUCUUUUACCCGGGAUGAUAAUGACAGUACCGGGAGAAUAAGCUCCGGCUAACUCCGUG
rnacentral:rRNA from 1 species